AUUGAACGCUGGCGGCAGGCCUAACACAUGCAAGUCGAACGAGUGGCGGACGGGUGAGUAAUGUCUGGGAAACUGCCUGAUGGAGGGGGAUAACUACUGGAAACGGUAGCUAAUACCGCAUACCAUCAGAUGUACCCAGGUGGGAUUAGCUUGUUGGGGGGGUAACGGCUCACCAAGGCAACGAUCCCUAGCUGGUCUGAUAGGAUGACCAGCCCCACUGGAACGAUGACAGGGUCCAGACGCCUACGGUAGGCAGCAGUGGGGAAGUUUGCACAAUGGGCGCAAGCCUGAUGCAGCCAUGCCGCGUGUAUGAAGAGGGCCUUCGGGUUUUUAGGUACUUUCAGCGGGGAGGCGUUACCCGCAGAGGAAGCACCGGCUGACUCCGGGCCAGCCGCCGCGGUAAUUC
rnacentral:rRNA from 1 species